rnacentral:rRNA from 1 species
CCUACGGGCGGCUGCAGUGGGGAAUAUUGCACAAUGGGCGCAAGCCUGAUGCAGCCAUGCCGCGUGUGUGAAGAAGGCCUUCGGGUUGUAAAGCACUUUCAGCGGGGAGGAAGGCGGUGAGGUUAAUAACCUCAUCGAUUGACGUUACCCGCAGAAGAAGCACCGGCUAACUCCGUGCCAGCAGCCGCGGUAAUACGGAGGGUGCAAGCGUUAAUCGGAAUUACUGGGCGUAAAGCGCACGCAGGCGGUCUGUCAAGUCAGAUGUGAAAUCCCCGGGCUCAACCUGGGAACUGCAUUCGAAACUGGCAGGCUAGAGUCUUGUAGAGGGGGGUAGAAUUCCAGGUGUAGCGGUGAAAUGCGUAGAGAUCUGGAGGGAUACCGGUGGCGAAGGCGGCCCCCUGGACAAAGACUGACGCUCAGGUGCGAAAGCGUGGGGAGCAAACAGGAUUAGAUACCCUAGUAGUC